rnacentral:rRNA from 1 species
UACGUAGGGUGCGAGCGUUAAUCGGAAUUACUGGGCGUAAAGCGUGCGCAGGCGGUCGUUCAAGUCGCGUGUGAAAGCCCCCGGCUCAACUGGGGAGGGUCACGCGAUACUGAUCGACUCGAAGGCAGGAGAGGGAAGUGGAAUUCCCGGUGUAGUGGUGAAAUGCGUAGAUAUCGGGAGGAACACCAGUGGCGAAGGCGACUUCCUGGCCUGUUCUUGACGCUGAGGCGCGAAAGCUAGGGGAGCAAACGGG